UACGUAGGGUGCGAGCGUUUGUCCGGAAUUAUUGGGCGUAAAGAGCUCGUAGGCGGUUUGUCACGUCUGCUGUGAAAUCCCGAGGCUCAACCUCGGGCCUGCAGUGGGUACGGGCAGACUGGAGUGCGGUAGGGGAGACUGGAAUUCCUGGUGUAGCGGUGAAAUGCGCAGAUAUCAGGAGGAACACCGAUGGCGAAGGCAGCUCGCUGGGACGGUACUGACGCUGAGGCGCGAAAGCGUGGGGAGCGAACAGG
rnacentral:rRNA from 1 species